UACAGAGGUCUCAAGCGUUGUUCGGGUUCAUUCGGCGUAAAGGGUGCGUAGGUGGUUGGGUAAGUCAAAUGUGAAAUCCCGGAGCUCAACUCCGGAACUGCAUUCGAUACUGCCCGGCUCGAGGAUUGGAGAGGAGACUGGAAUUCACGGUGUAGCAGUGAAAUGCGUAGAGAUCGUGAGGAACACCCGUGGCGAAGGCGGGUCUUUGGACAAUUCCUGACACUGAGGAACGAAGGCCAGGGGUGCAAACGGG
rnacentral:rRNA from 1 species